rnacentral:misc_RNA from 1 species
UUUCCGUAGGUGAACCUGCGGAAGGAUCAUUAUUGUAUAACCGAGAUGCGAGGGCUGUCGCUGCACCGAAAGGUCGUGCACGCCUGAGUGCCCUCCCAUACAUCCAUCUCACCCCUCUGUGUCCGACCGCGUGGGUCCCCCCUUGGUUUGCUUGGCGGGGGGCUUAAGUUAUAACACAAACUUUGUUUGCAGUGCAGAAUGUAUUUUUUGUUCAUGUGCUCCCGCACUCAAUACAACUUUCAACAACGGAUAUCUUGGCCCUCGCCUGGAUGCAGAACC